GGGGGAGCUACCAUGCAGUCGAGCGGAACGAGUUAUCUGAACCUUCGGGGGACGAUAACGGCGCCCUAGCGGCGGACGGGUGAGUAAUGCCUAGGAAAUUGCCCUGAUGUGGGGGAUAACCAUUGGAAACGAUGGCUAAUACCGCAUAAUACCUACGGGUCAAAGAGGGGGACCUUCGGGCCUCUCGCGUCAGGAUAUGCCUAGGUGGGAUUAGCUAGUUGGUGAGGUAAUGGCUCACCAAGGCGACGAUCCCUAGCUGGUCUGAGAGGAUGAUCAGCCACACUGGAACUGAGACACGGUCCAGACUCCUACGGGAGGCAGCAGUGGGGAAUAUUGCACAAUGGGCGCAAGCCUGAUGCAGCCAUGCCGCGUGUGUGAAGAAGGCCUUCGGGUUGUAAAGCACUUUCAGUCGUGAGGAAGGUAGUGUAGUUAAUAGCUGCAUUAUUUGACGUUAGCGACAGAAGAAGCACCGGCUAACUCCGUGCCAGCAGCCGCGGUAAUACGGAGGGUGCGAGCGUUAAUCGGAAUUACUGGGCGUAAAGCGCAUGCAGGUGGUUUGUUAAGUCAGAUGUGAAAGCCCGGGGCUCAACCUCGGAAUAGCAUUUGAAACUGGCAGACUAGAGUACUGUAGAGGGGGGUAGAAUUUCAGGUGUAGCGGUGAAAUGCGUAGAGAUCUGAAGGAAUACCGGUGGCGAAGGCGGCCCCCUGGACAGAUACUGACACUCAGAUGCGAAAGCGUGGGGAGCAAACAGGAUUAGAUACCCUUGGUAAGUCAA
rnacentral:rRNA from 1 species